CCUGAUGAGGGUGCCAAAUGCUGAAGUGAUGAACCAAAUCUGACACUCUAUUGUAUCCUUGUACAGCUCUGUGACGUCCAAACACAGUGUUGACGGUAUGGAGCUCUGUGACGUCCAAACACAGUGUUGACGGUAGUGGAGCUCUGUGACAUCCAAACACAGUGUUGACGGGCUCCACCCUACCAGCCUUGGGUACAGUGCAGCUGUUGGAGCAGAGUGAGCUGGCUGAGACUCUGGUCCUGUCCAUGGCCCUCCUGGAGAACCAGCCUACUGUCAAGCUCCAGGUCUUGCAGACUCUUCAGAUGCUCUCCAGCUCCUCUGAUGUGAAAUGGAGCCUAAUGUUAAAGGCACAGAGGGCACAGCAGAUCUGCCUCCGUAUGAAUGAGUAACAGAGCUCCAUACUGUCUAUACUUCCAUUAGGUCAACGGUCGAUUAGCUGCAUUAUGUUACGUUAGUGUGCCAUUGAUAGACUGAAAAACAUUCCAAAGUACAAACAAAUUAUUAAUACUUUCUGACUAUUGCGUUUUUGAUGCGUUAUAAACUUCAUAGAUAAUGUUUGUGUCUGCUAGCUGUUCAAAGAAGGCUGUGUUGUCCUGACCCUGCUGCACCUGGUGAAGCCCUCUGCUGCUCCCCUGAGGGCCAGUCAUGACCACGCAACUGGACCCCCCGUCCAGCAGGAGGAGCUGCAGCUGCAGGCUCUGGCCGCUCUGGCCACCGUGGCUCCACUGAUGCUAGACGACUACAUGACCUGUCAGGGAAACACUUCUGCUGCUGCUGGAGUGGUGUGUUGAGCGAGAUGCCUACUUUGGACAGGGCCAUAGUUUCCAUGGCAGUGGAGGGAGGGCAGUAAGAAGUCUCAGUUGUGUUACUGUGUGAGGCUGCUGAAAUCCAUGGCGUCCCUAGGCAACGAAGCAAUCAACCAGGAGCUCUCUGAUCAUGGAGCCAUCAGCCAGCUGCUUGGGAUCAUUAUGCAGAUGGAGGGGAGUCCUGAAGAGGAGGAUGUUAUUACCUUGGAGAUCAAGGCUGACAUCCAGCUGAUCCUGUCAGCACUUUGCGAGACCGAUCUACACAAAAAGAAAUUAUGUGGGCGGGUGAUGACUGUAGAGAGUACUUCAGCUCACCUGACGGGGGG